UACAGUGAUGAUGGGCAGAAAUGGACUGUGUACAGAGAGCCUGGUGUGGAGCAAGAUAAGAUAUUUCAAGGAAACAAAGAUUAUCACCAGGAUGUGCGUAAUAACUUUUUGCCACCAAUUAUUGCACGUUUUAUUAGAGUGAAUCCUACCCAAUGGCAGCAGAAAAUUGCCAUGAAAAUGGAGCUGCUCGGAUGUCAGUUUAUUCCUAAAGGUCGUCCUCCAAAACUUACUCAACCUCCACCUCCUCAGAACAGCAAUGACCUCAAAAACACUACAGCCCCUCCAAAAAUAGCCAAAGGUCGUGCCCCAAAAUUUACCCAACCACUACAACCUCGCAGUAGCAAUGAAUUUCCUGCACAGACAGAACAAACAACUGCCAGUCCUGAUAUCAGAAAUACUACUGUAACUCCAAAUGUAACCAAAGAUGUAGCACUGGCUGCAGUUCUUGUCCCUGUGCUGGUCAUGGUCCUCACUACUCUCAUUCUCAUAUUAGUGUGUGCUUGGCACUGGAGAAACAGGUUAGUACAUAACUAGUUCACCUGAGUCCAAAACUACCAAAUGUGAAGUAGAAGCUAAAUAUAGAAGAUGAAAAUGUUUACCUGUUUGAGAGUGAGAGUUAAGAUAAUUAUUAAAAUGAAAAUUUCAUGCUUCUCCUUUAUUCCCGUUAAAAAUAAAUAAGUUCAAUUCCACAA
rnacentral:sRNA from 1 species